CAAUAAAGAUUCAAAAAACGGAAUAACGCAAUAGCAAAAAAAAAUACGAACACAAAAAAACUGCAAAUGCAUGCGCAGUUUUCUGCGUUAUAUCAUAUUUGCGCACAUUUCGUUAUUUCAUUUU
rnacentral:ribozyme from 1 species